rnacentral:rRNA from 1 species
CAGUCGCCGCGGGAAUACAGAGGGUGCGAGCGUUAAUCGGAUUUACUGGGCGUAAAGCGUGCGCAGGCGGUUAUAUAAGACAGAUGUGAAAUCCCCGGGCUCAACCUGGGAACUGCAUUUGUGACUGUAUAGCUAGAGUACGGCAGAGGGGGAUGGAAUUCCGCGUGUAGCAGUGAAAUGCGUAGAUAUGCGGAGGAACACCGAUGGCGAAGGCAAUCCCCUGGGCCUGUACUGACGCUCAUGCACGAAAGCGUGGGGAGCAAACAGGAUUAGAUACCCCAGUAGUCCCUGUCUCUUAUAU